CGAAUAAUAAUAAUUUGAUUUUUAUUUUACAAUAAUAAAGAUAAUUGACUUAUCGAUUGUCGAUAAAGAAGUAAUCGAACUAAACAAAGAGCGCCAUCUAACGGUGCAUAUACAUAGUUUGAAGUUCUAUAUAUACAAAACUACUUUCGUAUCUGUAGAAUAAUAUUUAUUUUGUUUUAGAUAACGGAUAUUUUUUACAGUAACAAUUAUCAGCUGUACACGUAUUGACGUAUGUAUAUUUAUGACUCUUACAAUUAGCUUCGUAAAUAUAAGUAAAAAUUUUCGAUAAUCGUAAUAUAACUAUAUAUAUAUAUAUAUAUAUUUUUCUUAUGUCAUGUUUGCGCGAAUUUCCCGAGGAUAAAAAAAAGCAAUCAAAAUUCCUGGCGAAGAUAUUAUGUAUCGCGGCGCGCGCAACGUCCUUUAGAUCGCUCUCACAGAUUGUUAACCUUGAGCUUGACCUUGGGCGUGCCCUGUUCUUUCCCCUUCUCGCGGCCGGCGCCGCGGAUCAUGUACCCAGAGAUGAUCCAUGCCGAACGAGUCCUGACCUAACCUAUUCUAGGCUAUGUCUCUGUCCUCCCAUACAGACAAAGCCUAGGAGAGGCUAAACCAAGUUACUCGGUUCUCCAUCUGAUCUUUUUUUUGUUUCGUCGUCUUCGUCUGGUCCGUCCUUUUUACAGCUUUCUUCCCACGGUAAUUCCCACUCGCCUCCACAAUGUCGCCCUGAUGUGGUAUCUGGAUUCAUUAAAAUGUUGCUCGAGUACGACGAUAAUCUUAAUUGAGAGCUAAUUGCACAAGUUUUUAUGAUAUUAAAACUUUAAUUUUGAGCGUCAUCGAUUGAAGUUCGAGAUUCUUCAAAAUACCAAAAUAAAUCAGAAUUCGCAGGUCUACAGGAAGAACCUGUCCUAUGAAAAUUUAUGACGUACUCUCUUUCUCUCUCUCUCACACACACACACACACAUUAUCUUUUUAACAUCCAGAUUUUAAAAUUAUGUACAUAUAUUAAGGAUAACAAACUGAUGAGAAUGAACUAGUAUAAGAUAACGAAGAAUUUCAGUUAAAUAACGAGAUAUACUUGGAGAUUUAAUUCUUAACAUAUACAUAAAAUUAAAAUUGAAAAAAUUUAUGUCAUAUAUUAGAAGUAGAUAUACUCUAGAUAAUCACUAUGGGACACUUAAAAUUAUUAUAUGUGUAUGUGAGAUGUUUUUUUUUAUCUUUUGCAUUAUCUUUUGCACUAUUUUUUGCACUAUUAUAAUUAUUGCAAGACCACGUGUAUAUAUAAUGUUAUUAAAUACUUGAUAAGAGCAUGUGUAAAAUACGCUGGAUGAGGGAGAGAAAGAGAUAGAGAAGGCGUCGCCUUUUUACUUUAACAGUUUUAUCGCGUGCUUUUUGUAAGGAGUUAUUUUUGCGGAGGUGGUCCAGAGCCGACCGGUACAAUGAAAGCGUGUCACGCCUAAAAAUACGCGGAGCACGCAGGUAGACGUGAAAAGGUCGUAGAUACCCGGGACGGAAUACGAAAAGAAAAAAAAUGGAAGAAACAAGGAAACGCAAUGCGAUGUAAAGAUGAGGACGCGUGCUCAAUCCGUCUUCUCGGAGACUCGACUUGCAGAGAUUUCGAUGCCCGCACGUGCGAUAUGUCUCUGCUUCGUCCUCGGCAUCAGCAGGCAGGAUUACAUAAACGGAAGCACUCGCCGAAGAUCCAUCGUGGAAAGACAGAACCACGGCGAAAAGGAUAGGAAGAAAAUGUCGAGAUGAAGAAACCGUUACAUCAGGUACCGAUAAUAAAUUCAAUAGCGAUGAUGAUUUGCGAUCGAUGAUCGUAAAAAGCUACUGCCCGGAGGCUGCGUCCCAUUUAUGGUUAAAGCAGUCCCGCGCAAAUAAACGCGACCUUCCGUAGGAGGAAGUACGCAGGUACGGCAUGUGUUUUCGGCGCCUUCUCGAAUUCCGUUCGUCGCCUUUUUGCGAAUCGGAGCACACCCACGUCUUCAUACUCGGCGACUGAGAAAAUACUGUAAUGUGUGUGCACCGCAUCUUCCGAGAAUCGGUCGAUUUCGUCUGUGCGAAACGUCGUUCCUGGAUCGACAGGACGCGAGAGAGGCGGCGUUAAUUAACGUCGGUCGAGCAGCGCAGGAAUAUAUAGGCAGAUUUUAUCGUCGGCCAUUACGGCUUAGAAUACGACAGAGUCCGGCAGGCUACGGCAAUACGUAACGACUCCAUUAACGGACAGACCAAUCCGCAACGAUGCAACUCCCCGCGUUCGGGGAUUCGUUAAAAUCCCCGCGCGAGUCGAGAGAAAAACAUCCCGAGAAGAUAUGUAUCUCUUCUUUUUUCUUAUACUUUCCGCGAGAGCUUUUAUUUCGCCGGGGCUAUACCGCGCGAGUAUCCUCGGAUGAAGAUGGCGGAUACUACGAUAAUUUAUUAACUAGUCCGGCGAGUCGGUUCUCUCCUCCCUGGACCUGUUGGCGGAGUCGACAUCGGCUGGUUUCGCGCCGGAGACGAAAUCCCAGCGAAAGCGGCCUCCGAUGAGCGAAAAAAACCGUCUCUCGUUCGUCUCUCCUUGCGUGUCUCGCUCGAUAUCACGCAUUCUUGCGCGAUUAAUAAUCUAAUCCAGAGGUUGAUAACCGAUAUCAUCUCGCGAGAACGUUUUUACAUAUAUGUAUAUGUAAAUGCGACGAGAGCCGCGGAGGUCUCUCGCUCGGAAUUAACUUUGAAUUCAACGCGACCUCGUACUUACUACGCGUUGCGAGAGGGAAAAUGACAAGUAGUAAUGAUCGUAAUAACGUCGUCUCGACAGCGACAGCGUACGGUUCGUACGGUAAAGAGCAAAGUUCAGCGUUCCUUUGCCGUAGUAUAUACUCUUAAGAAGCGGCGGAUAGCUUGAAAAGCGUUAUGAAUAUACAUGCCAUGUUGAAGAUAUGCCGAUCUUUUCGAUCGUGACAUAAAAAUGACCGAUUUAUCUAAUUGAAAGGUGAUUUAAAAGAAAAGGAAAACAUUUCCGCAGACGCGGAAAAUAUUCGCGAUAGUAGCAGUUCUUCAUUCCGAGAGAAUUAUUUUUCAAUAAGAUUUAUUCCUCUCGCUAUUUAACCAAGUACGUGUAUCCACCGAUUGUAAGGUCAGCUUGGUUUUCGCGCAAGGCAAUCUAGCGUGCAACAUCCAUAAUGCAUCAACAAGUUUUUAUCAUUCGUUCUCUGAGAUUCGUAUCUCGUAGUGCGUUUUGCAUUCGCGUCGAAUUCAGCUGGUGCACGACUGCACGAGAAAACUGCGGGGUCUGGCAAAUAUAUAUGUAUAUAUAUAUUUUAUAUAUACACACACAUUCAUCUCGCUGUCAAGUCGUGCAUCGACGUAUAAUCUCGCGUAAUGGAAUGCAUAAAAUUCAUAAUUAUAUAGCCUGCACGUAUGUACGCUAUACUUAGAUUUUUAUGUAACUAUGCGAUGUGGACUUUAACGUCAAUCGAGACGCACGUGCGUUACGUUGCAUACAACGCGAGAAAGAUAUAUUUGAUCCUCAAUUAUGUUUUUUUUUCUUCUUUGAAGAGAUAGAAGGAGAGGGAGGACGAUUUGCAAAAUAUUUAACUUGGACAAACAUUCGCAUCUUGCAAAGUUAUGGAAAUCUGAAUCUUCUAAUUGAUCUUAAUCGUUGAUAUUAAUUACCAUUAUUUACUUUCUGUAAAUACGUAAUUAAGGAGAACGCAAUAAUGAGCGGGCGAUUUCGGAGUCGAUUUGUUCGAUCAUCCUCGCGAAUUCCUCGCGCGAAUCGCGCUCGCGGCCCUUAACGGUCCGACAUCGUGUCGGCAACGAUUCACAAUCGGCGGGUAGAGGAAAUUCUCCAGUCGUGACGUAAAAAAAGACAUAGUGCCUGAGGGCGUUUCUUCAACACGGCGCCACCAAUACAGGACUGCGAGUUUAGUUACGGAACGAACGCGUUCCAUCCUCCUCUAUCUUCCUUCUAUUUCGAUCUCUUAUACAGAAUCCAUACCGGCGAGAGAGAAACGAGCGGAAUCUCAUUAUAACGAGUCUACAAAUUAAACUUUUAUAACUUAUUUUUAUUUAUAAUGAUAUAUAUUUAAUAUCAAUAGUAAUGUUACAUGUUCUUACAUUGUUGAGUAUAUAAUUAUAGAAUAUUAAAAUUAUAUAAUAUACAUAUAAUUAUUAUGUGGGAUUAUAUUUAAAAAAUACAAUUAGACUUAUAAUUUAUUCAACAAACAAAUCGUCGAGUUUAAAGUCUAUAAUUGUUACAGUUGCAAGCAAAUGAGAUCAUAAUUUGUAAAUGUAUUUGCAUGUAAAUGAGUAACGCUUGCGGUUUCCGGUGUGGAUUCAGUCUUAGGAUGAGUAUACCUUCAUUCUCAGCUGUCUACGAUUUUAAUUACAAGCGGUUCUCUCUACGAGAGAGAAAGAACCUUUCGCUGGUGGCUUCCAGAGCCGCAGACGCGCACCGUACCGGGACGAACAAUUACCAUUUCGUCUCGAUCUACAUUGUUUCCUUAAGAGAUGCAAGUUGAGCAAGAUUAAAUCUUGAUUAAAAUGACGCGAAUCUAGGCGUGGGCAAAUUGGCGAGCAAAUUUGUGCGAAUAUGAUGGAUACCCCGUUAGUUAAACCGUACACUGGAAAAAAAUUGUUAAUUUGACUAUCGUUCAACUAUAAAUUACUAU